GUAGGUGGCAAGCGUUGUCCGGAAUUAUUGGGCGUAAAGCACGCGCAGGCGGUUUUUUAAGUCUGAUGUGAAAGCCCACGGCUCAACCGUGGAGGGUCAUUGGAAACUGGAGAACUUGAGUACAGAAGAGGAAAGCGGAAUUCCACGUGUAGCGGUGAAAUGCGUAGAGAUGUGGAGGAACACCAGUGGCGAAGGCGGCUUUCUGGUCUGUAACUGACGCUGAGGCGCGAAAGCGUGGGGAGCAAACAGGGAUUAGAUACCCUGGUAGUCCACGCCGUAAACGAUGAGUGCUAAGUGUUAGGGGGUUUCCCGCCCCCUUAGUGCUGCAGCUAACGCAUUAAGCACUCCGCCUGGGGAGUACGGCCGCAAGGCUG
rnacentral:rRNA from 1 species